rnacentral:lncRNA from 1 species
GCCUAGUGGCUAGCAACUGCAUGGGUUGAAGGAGAGGUCUGGGAUUCGAUAGCUGAGGCGGUCACUUAAAAUUGUUACUGCUUUGGACCCGUUGUAUAUUUAUAAAUUAGAAGGAAAAUUACAAAACGGGCCCGGGCCGGGCCAGUCCGAGGGCCUCAGGUUGGGGCGCAGGCACAGCACAGAUUAAACAUGUGCCGGGCCUGGCACUGUUGGGCUUAGCCCGCCGGGCUUCCGGGCUUUUGGAAAAAGCCCGGCCGGAUAGCCACCUAUAAUGGAAACAAACACUGAGCGAAAUAGAUGUGCACCUAAGUUGCCAAACCAGAGGUGAAGUGGCCCUGUGGAAAAGAUAAAUGGGCAAAGGGCUUCUCGGCUUCCAGAAUUUCAGGUCAGCUGUUGCUUAUUCGUUGAUGAAUAUAAGUUCUUCUUGUAGUCCCAAUGUCAAUCUGGCAGUGUCAUCACCAGCCUAGCAACCGGUCGGCUAAGCACGACCACAACAAGCUUCCUCCCUAGGCAGAGCUCCCCGUGGGGGACCCUGGGCUUUGCGCGAAACAGAGUUGGCUAAUGGAGUUUAGGAGAAAGAUUUCAGCAGCGGAUCCCAUGCUCUAACCACAGCGCUCCUACCAAAUUCCUUAUGCCUCUCAUGCCAAUACGAUCGAGAUUUCUAUAUCUUUGCUGGUAAUCCUUAAGCAGCUGGUUACCAUCUUGUCUCCACUAUCUACAUUUGAAUUACUGGAUGAUAUGUUUGCUGUUUCCCCCCAUCUCUCUGUUAUCUCUCUC